rnacentral:rRNA from 1 species
AAGGAAUAUUGGUCAAUGGACGCAAGUCUGAACCAGCCAUGCCGCGUGAAGGAUGAAGGUCCUCUGGAUUGUAAACUUCUUUUAUCUGGGACGAAAACGGGAUUUUUAUCUCAAUUGACGGUACCGGAGGAAUAAGCACCGGCUAACUCCGUGCCAGCAGCCGCGGUAAUACGGAGGGUGCGAGCGUUAUCCGGAUUUACUGGGUUUAAAGGGUGCGUAGGUGGGCUUAUAAGUCAGUGGUGAAAUCUCUCAGCUUAACUGAGAAACUGCCAUUGAUACUGCAGACCUAGAGUAUAGAGGACGUUGGCGGAAUAUGACAUGUAGUGGUGAAAUACUUAGAUAUGUCAUAGAACACCGAUUGCGAAGGCAGCUAACGAAACUAUAACUGACGCUGAGGCACGAAAGUGCGGGGAUCAAACA